AUUAAAAAAAAAAACAAAGAUAAAAAAUAACAAUUACAGAAUGAUUAACAAGGAGAUGUCAAUCAACUUUUAAUAAUGAAAAAAUUAAAUCAAUUUGUAAUUACUUGUGAAUCUUCACCCGAUGAAUGCAGCUGAAUCUGAGAAGAGGAUAGGAUAAUACAACGAAGAGAAGAGAUGAAAGGGUUUUGUUGAGGUAUUUUUGUUCAAUUCAACUGGGCAUCUCUAAAACAUGGCGUGCAGUUGGGCGCUCUAAUAUUUUGCCCUAAAAAAUUAUAUGGGCAGUGGUAGAUAUUUAAUAAUUCGCCCCUAAUUUAGUGCCCUAAAAAAAAUC